ACUCCUACGGGAGGCAGCAGUGAGGAAUUUUGCGCAAUGGGGGAAACCCUGACGCAGCAACGCCGCGUGAGUGAAGAAGGCUUUCGGGUCGUAAAGCUCUGUCAAGAGGGAAGAAAGUGGGAGAUGGUAAUACUGUUUUCUAUUGACGGUACCUCUGAAGGAAGCACCGGCUAACUCCGUGCCAGCAGCCGCGGUAAUACGGGGGGUGCAAGCGUUAUUCGGAUUUAUUGGGCGUAAAGAGCGCGUAGGCGGUUUAUCAAGUCAGAUGUGAAAGCCCUGGGCUCAACCUGGGAAGUGCAUUUGAAACUAGUAGACUUGAGUAUGGGAGAGGGAAGUGGAAUUCCUGGUGUAGAGGUGAAAUUCGUAGAUAUCAGGAGGAACACCGGUGGCGAAGGCGACUUCCUGGACCAAUACUGACGCUGAGGCGCGAAGGCGUGGGGAGCAAACAGGAUUAGAUACCCUGGUAGUCCACGCAGUAAACGGUGAUCACUAGGUGUAGCGGGUAUUGACCCCUGCUGUGCCGCAGUUAACGCAUUAAGUGAUCCGCCUGGGGAGUACGAUCGCAAGGUUAAAACUCAAAGGAAUUGACGG
rnacentral:rRNA from 1 species